CCUACGGGGCUGCAGUGGGGAAUAUUGGACAAUGGGGGCAACCCUGAUCCAGCCAUGCCGCGUGUGUGAAGAAGGCCCUCGGGUUGUAAAGCACUUUCAGUGAGGAAGAACGCCUGGUGGUUAAUACCCAUCAGGAAAGACAUCACUCACAGAAGAAGCACCGGCUAACUCCGUGCCAGCAGCCGCGGUAAUACGGAGGGUGCGAGCGUUAAUCGGAAUUACUGGGCGUAAAGCGCGCGUAGGUGGCUUGAUAAGCCGGUUGUGAAAGCCCCGGGCUCAACCUGGGAACGGCAUCCGGAACUGUCAAGCUAGAGUGCAGGAGAGGAAGGUAGAAUUCCCGGUGUAGCGGUGAAAUGCGUAGAGAUCGGGAGGAAUACCAGUGGCGAAGGCGGCCUUCUGGACUGACACUGACACUGAGGUGCGAAAGCGUGGGUAGCAAACAGGAUUAGAUACCCCUGUAGUC
rnacentral:rRNA from 1 species